GACGGAGGGUGCAAGCGUUAUCCGGAAUGAUUGGGCGUAAAGCGUCCGCAGGUGGCAGUUCAAGUCUGCUGUCAAAGCCCGGGGCUUAACUUCGGAAAGGCAGUGGAAACUGAACAGCUAGAGUAUGGUAGGGGCAGAGGGAAUUCCUGGUGGAGCGGUGAAAUGCGUAGAGAUCAGGAAGAACAUCGGUGGCGAAGGCGCUCUGCUGGACCAUAACUGACGCUGAGGCGCGAAAGCUAGGGGAGCAAACGGG
rnacentral:rRNA from 1 species